AGUGCUCGUCGAAGUCGGCGAUGUUGGCGGUGGACAGGGCGGCGGAAGCCAGGAACGCGGCGGCGACGAGGAGGAGGGAGCCGGGCCGGCUCCACCGGAGCUGCUUCGUCGUCGUCUCCAUUUGUAGGGGGCUUUAUUUCACCUUUAUUAUUAUUGGUACAAAUGCAUCUGUGUUCUUGGAAAGAGCUGAGCUGAGCAGGGUUCUUCUUGUUGUGGUAGAAUUGGUGCUUCGAGAGCGAGAAAGGAAGAACCCAAUUUUUCGCGUGGAUGCGGGAAGAGGGUAAUAUAAGGAGGGAGACGUGGUAUUAUUAGAAACAAGGCGAGGCGAGGCAAGAGG
rnacentral:lncRNA from 1 species